AGCCUUCUUUAUCUGUGCCAAGAUUUCGUCAGCUGAAACCGAGGAAUCAGGACUGAUGAGACUUACAACAAAAGUGAAGCG
rnacentral:pre_miRNA from 1 species